rnacentral:lncRNA from 1 species
UCGCGGUAGACCGCGAUCCGACCUGGGGGCGGCUGCGUCACCCUGUCCUCCGGCCCCGCAGUUUCAAGACGAAACCCGGGCUGGAAGAAGAACCGGGAGCGGAUCAGCUCCAACUCCUCCCCCGACAGGCUCGAUCCCACUUCCUCAGGACCCAAACCCAUUCCCACAGAAGAACGAAAUAAAAGUUAAAAAAAGCGGAAAAUGGAAGCUGGGGAGGAGAAGAAAAGAGGAA